rnacentral:tRNA from 1 species
GGGCCUUUAGCUCAGUUGGUUAGAGCAGUGGACUCAUAAUCCAUUUGUCGAAGGUUCAAGUCCUUCAAGGCCCACCA